CCUCAAAUCAGGUAGGACUACCCGCUGAACUUAAGCAUAUCAAUAAGCGGAGGAAAAGAAACUARCAAGGAUUCCCCUAGUAACUGCGAGUGAAGCGGGAAAAGCUCAAAUUUAAAAUCUGGCGGCUUCGCCGUCCGAGUUGUAAUCUGGAGAAGCGUUUUCCGCGUUGGACCGUGUACAAGUCUCUUGGAACAGAGCGUCAUAGAGGGUGAGAAUCCCGUCUUUGACACGGACUACCAAUGCUUUGUGAUACGCUCUCGAAGAGUUGAGUUGUUUGGGAAUGCAGCUCAAAAUGGGUGGUAAAUUCCAUCUAAAGCUAAAUAUUGGCGAGAGACCGAUAGCGAACAAGUACCGUGAGGGAAAGAUGAAAAGCACUUUGGAAAGAGAGUUAAACAGUACGUGAAAUUGUUGAAAGGGAAACGCUUGAAGUCAGUCGCGUUGUCCGGGACUCAGCCUUGCUUCUGCUUGGUGUAUUUCCUGGUUGACGGGCCAACAUCGAUUUUGGACGGCGGAUAAAGGUGAGGGGAAUGUGGCAUCCUCGGAUGUGUUAUAGCCUCUCGUCGGAUGCGUCGUCUGGGAUCGAGGACCGCAGCACGCCUUUUUGGCCGGGGUUCGCCCACGUAACGUGCUUAGGUAUGU
rnacentral:rRNA from 1 species